rnacentral:rRNA from 1 species
UACGUAGGCAGCGAGCGUUGUUCGGAGUUACUGGGCGUAAAGCGUGCGUAGGCGGCGGUCCAUGUCUGGUGUGAAAUCUCCCGGCUUAACUGGGAGGGUGCGCCGGAAACGGGGCUGCUGGAGUGCGGGAGAGGUAAGCGGAAUUCCCGGUGUAGCGGUGAAAUGCGUAGAUAUCGGAAGGAACACCAGUGGCGAAAGCGGCUUCCUGGUCCAGCACCGACGUUCAGGCACGAAAGCGUGGGGAGCAAACAGG